GGCGUGCUUAACACAUGCAAGUCGAACGAUGAAGCCCUUCGGGGUGGAUUAGUGGCGAACGGGUGAGUAACACGUGGGCAAUCUGCCCUUCACUCUGGGACAAGCCCUGGAAACGGGGUCUAAUACCGGAUAUGACUACCGGCCGCAUGGUCUGGUGGUGGAAAGCUCCGGCGGUGAAGGAUGAGCCCGCGGCCUAUCAGCUUGUUGGUGGGGUGAUGGCCUACCAAGGCGACGACGGGUAGCCGGCCUGAGAGGGCGACCGGCCACACUGGGACUGAGACACGGCCCAGACUCCUACGGGAGGCAGCAGUGGGGAAUAUUGCACAAUGGGCGAAAGCCUGAUGCAGCGACGCCGCGUGAGGGAUGACGGCCUUCGGGUUGUAAACCUCUUUCAGCAGGGAAGAAGCGAAAGUGACGGUACCUGCAGAAGAAGCGCCGGCUAACUACGUGCCAGCAGCCGCGGUAAUACGUAGGGCGCAAGCGUUGUCCGGAAUUAUUGGGCGUAAAGAGCUCGUAGGCGGCUUGUCACGUCGGAUGUGAAAGCCCAGGGCUUAACCCUGGGUCUGCAUUCGAUACGGGCAGGCUAGAGUUCGGUAGGGGAGAUCGGAAUUCCUGGUGUAGCGGUGAAAUGCGCAGAUAUCAGGAGGAACACCGGUGGCGAAGGCGGAUCUCUGGGCCGAUACUGACGCUGAGGAGCGAAAGCGUGGGGAGC
rnacentral:rRNA from 1 species